UUUGAUCCUGGCUCAGAUUGAACGCUGGCGGCAGGCUUAACACAUGCAAGUCGAGCGGAGUGAUGGUGCUUGCACUAUCACUUAGCGGCGGACGGGUGAGUAAUGCUUAGGAAUCUGCCUAUUAGUGGGGGACAACAUUUCGAAAGGAAUGCUAAUACCGCAUACGUCCUACGGGAGAAAGCAGGGGAUCUUCGGACCUUGCGCUAAUAGAUGAGCCUAAGUCGGAUUAGCUAGUUGGUGGGGUAAAGGCCUACCAAGGCGACGAUCUGUAGCGGGUCUGAGAGGAUGAUCCGCCACACUGGGACUGAGACACGGCCCAGACUCCUACGGGAGGCAGCAGUGGGGAAUAUUGGACAAUGGGCGCAAGCCUGAUCCAGCCAUGCCGCGUGUGUGAAGAAGGCCUUAUGGUUGUAAAGCACUUUAAGCGAGGAGGAGGCUACUGAAGUUAAUACCUUCAGAUAGUGGACGUUACUCGCAGAAUAAGCACCGGCUAACUCUGUGCCAGCAGCCGCGGUAAUACAGAGGGUGCAAGCGUUAAUCGGAUUUACUGGGCGUAAAGCGCGCGUAGGCGGCUAAUUAAGUCAAAUGUGAAAUCCCCGAGCUUAACUUGGGAAUUGCAUUCGAUACUGGUUAGCUAGAGUGUGGGAGAGGAUGGUAGAAUUCCAGGUGUAGCGGUGAAAUGCGUAGAGAUCUGGAGGAAUACCGAUGGCGAAGGCAGCCAUCUGGCCUAACACUGACGCUGAUGUGCGAAAGCAUGGGGAGCAAACAGGAUUA
rnacentral:rRNA from 1 species